rfam:Asian citrus Psyllid, Diaphorina citri - Florida Strain, whole genome shotgun sequence.
GCUCCCAUGGCGUAGUGGUCACUGCACUUGCCUUGCACACAGGAGACCUGGGUUCAAUUCCCGGCGGGGUCA